rnacentral:rRNA from 1 species
GAUGAACGCUGGCGGCGUGCCUAAUACAUGCCAGUCGAGCGAACAGAUGAGGAGCUUGCUCCUCUGACGUUAGCGGCGGACGGGUGAGUAACACGUGGAUAACCUACCUAUAAGACUGGGAUAACUUCGGGAAACCGGAGCUAAUACCGGAUAAUAUAUUGAACCGCAUGGUUCAAUAGUGAAAGACGGUUUUGCUGUCACUUAUAGAUGGAUCUGCGCCGCAUUAGCUAGUUGGUAAGGUAACGGCUUACCAAGGCAACGAUGCGUAGCCGACCUGAGAGGGUGAUCGGCCACACUGGAACUGAGACACGGUCCAGACUCCUACGGGAGGCAGCAGUAGGGAAUCUUCCGCAAUGGGCGAAAGCCUGACGGAGCAACGCCGCGUGAGUGAUGAAGGUCUUCGGAUCGUAAAACUCUGUUAUUAGGGAAGAACAAAUGUGUAAGUAACUAUGCACGUCUUGACGGUACCUAAUCAGAAAGCCACGGCUAACUACGUG